rnacentral:rRNA from 1 species
UACGUAGGGGGCAAGCGUUGUCCGGAUUUAUUGGGCGUAAAGAGCGUGUAGGCGGCCUGAAAGGUCAGCUGUGAAAACUCGAGGCUCAACCUCGAGACGUCGGUUGAAACCAUCUGGCUAGAGUCCGGAAGAGGAGUGUGGAAUUCCCGGUGUAGCGGUGAAAUGCGCAGAUAUCGGGAAGAACACCCGUGGCGAAGGCGGCACUCUGGGACGGUACUGACGCUGAGACACGAAAGCGUGGGGAGCGAACAGG